AAAUUAAGGGGAAGCGUUGAGCCGCUACCCAUAUGUGGUUCACUCGGAUAGCGGGGAGCUAAUAGUGAAACCGGCCCUUUAGGGG
rnacentral:ncRNA from 16 species